GGGGCCAGUCACACAUGGUCAGGCAGGAGAGUCCAGCCGGGAUUGUCCUGCCCUCCCUGCCACGCUGGGAACAUCCCCCUCUCCGGGACAGGGAAGGAGUGACCCCUGCUGGUAGAGACAGGCUGAGCUUGAACAGGGUCAGGCCACAGAAGCAAGAAGUCGGAUCUAGCCAUCCGUCGUCUCGGGUAUUUCUCAUGUGCUGUCACUGCGUGACUAAGUGCCAAGAACACUCAAUAGCGUAGCGCUAACAUUGCCCACUGGGCCCUCACUCGUCAUUCUCCAGGAUUCAUUCACUGAUAUGAUAAAUCUUUCUUUUCCUUCUCUCAUCUCCUCCUCGUCACCUGGCCACGAAGAAGGCUUCCCAUUGAGUGUCAAACACGCUCAGGCUUGGGCUGGCUCUCCUGUGGUGAGGAGUUCCACAGUCCGCCAAGGAGGCUGUGCCCAAAGACCGGCAGUUCUUCCAGCCUGGAGGAGGGGCCUCAUGUCACACUGCUUCCUGGCUGGCAGCUUUGAGCUUCUGGUUAGUUACUUCCCUACAGCCUCCUUGGGGAAGGGAGUCCCUGGGAACUCGCCAGCAGUUGGGCUGAUGCUCCGGAGCCGAUUCUCCCCCUUCUUCUUUUUUUUAUUUUUAGAUGGAACUGGCCUUUCUCCAGCGUUGUAUGUUUCAGAUGUUCUGACAUUGUUCUUCUUGUCGUCAUAAACUCUUUUUUUCCCCUCGAUUUUAUAUAUCAAUUUUUUUAGACUUGAGUUUUUAUUUAUUAUUAAAAAGACAAAAAAAGAACAAACCAAACCACUCAUGGCCACAGCAAGGAGGGAGCCAGACAUUACGGGAGACAAAGGCGACUGCUCAGGAAGGCGUUUGGGGCUGGAGGUGCAUUCUCCAUCAAUGGGCGACAAAGAUUCCCCCCCCACCCCCCGGGUCUGUUCCAAACGAAAAAAAACCCUAAAGUGAAACUUGCUUUUAACCACUCAGUGACUAACCACUAAUGUGCCCCAGCACAUGUGACCCCAACUGUCUGCUCCCGCACCCAGGGGGGACUCUCCAGGUGGGCCUGUGCCCGUCCUGCUGUCCAGGGCUUCAGCCUGGCAUCUCUCACCAGCACUAAAUCCCGCAGGCAAAGCAGAACUCAGACAGUCCAGGAACUGGGCCCAAUUCUCACCUCCACCUGCACAGCUCUGCUGACCCCCGCCCCCGGGUUUACACCUGCGUGAGCUCACAGGCUCACACUACAGCCAGAACAAACCAGGCCAGCCCUUGUGGGCCAGCCCCUAGCAUAUAGUAUAUCCAGCCAAAGGGCUGGAUUCUGGGUUAACACAGGUGUCAAUCUGGGGCGAGUCCACUGAACUCG
rnacentral:lncRNA from 1 species